ensembl:misc_RNA 7SK 7SK RNA
GGAUGUGAGGGCCACCUGCCUGCGAAUUCUCUCACCCCAUUGGUGCCAGGGUUGAUUCCACUGAUCUGGCUGGCUAGGUGAGUGCCCCCUUCCUCCCUUACUGCUUGACAUGUAUCCCUCCUGAAGUUGAAAACUGCACCAUUGUUUGAAGAGGACUACCUCCCCCAAAUAGAGGAGGACCAGUCAAGGGCAUAUGAGUAGCCAUGCUCCCCAGAUAGAACCUUCAAUCAAAGUCUCAGGAGAAGACCAAAUUGUAAUGCAGAUUUUUGAAGUGGGCAGAUCCACCUUUAGUCUGGGGCACAUCUUCCACAUUCUUCUGGAAGCUGGU